AUCUAUCCAUCUGACUCAUCCCCAUCGUCAAACUGGACAGAAGUGAAGAUCCUCAUGUGUGAAAAUGAAGUCCCAGGCAACCACGAUUUGCUGUUUAAUAUUAUUUCUGACCACAGAAUAUUCUCAUAGUAGAUUCCAUAUCCGCACAAAAGAUGGAGAUAAACUUCAGAGUCCUGAAAGAAAACCCAAGACUGGAAGAAUUCAAGAAAAAUGCCACGGACCUUGCAGCGCUUCUAACUGCAGCCAGCCCUGUGCUCAGCACUUUCAUGGAGAAAUAGGAUUUAUCUGUAAUGGAAACAAGUGGCAGAAAUCAACUGAAACAUGUACAAGCCUUUCUGUGGAAACACUCUUUAUGGACUCAGACAGUGCAUCACGCCUCUCUGUGGCAGCACCGUCUAUAACUCUGCACAUUCUUGACUACCGAACCCCAGAGCCCAUCAGGAGUGUAGCUCAAGGAAUCCAAAAGAAUUGCCCACUGGAUUAUGCCUGCAUAAUUAAUGCUGUGAAAUCAUCAGAAGCAACUUCCGGAAAUAUUGCAUUUAUAGUGGAGUUACUAAAAAACAUUUCUACAGAUUUGUCUGAUAAUGUCACCCGAGAGAAAAUGAAGAGCUACAGCAAAGUGGCCAACCACAUCCUCAACCCCGCGGUCAUUCCAAACUGGGCUUUCAUUCCAGACAAAAAUGUCAGCUCCAAUUUGUUGCAGUCAGUGAACUGGUUUGCGAGGCAACUCCACAUCCAAAAUGAACCUGAGCACAUUGUGGAUGAACUCUUCAUUCAGACAAAAGGGUUCCCCAUCAACAACAAGACCUCAGAGAGAAGUCUCAGUUUCUCCAUGAACUUGAACAACACAGUGGAGGGCAUCCUAGGAAUCAUAGAAAUCCCCAGGCAAGAGCUGUGGAAGCUGCCCCCAAAUGCAUCCCAAGCUGUUGGCAUAGCUUUUCCCACCCUGGGGGCGGUCCUGAAAGAAGCCCACUUGGAAAAUGCCCAUCUUCCCAGGCUGGUAAAUGGACUGGUCCUUUCAGUGAUUUUACCAGAAAAAUUGGAGCAAAUCUUAUUUACCUUUGAGAAGAUCAACAAAUCACAGAAUGCCAGGGCCCAGUGUGUUGGCUGGCACUCCAGGAAAAGGAGGUGGGAUGAGAAUGUCUGUGAAACAACACUGGACACCAAGAACAGAGUGAAAUGCCGGUGUAACUACACCAACGUGAUGAUGUCUUUUUCCAUCCUCAUGUCCCCCAUAUCUGUGGACAACAAAGUCCUGGACUACAUCACCUGCAUUGGGCUCAGCGUCUCCAUCCUCAGCUUGAUUCUUUGCCUGAUGAUUGAAGCCACUGUCUGGUCCCGGGUGGUCAUGACGGACAUAUCAUAUAUGCGACAUGUAUGCAUUGUGAAUAUAGCUGUGUCGCUCUUGACUGCCAAUGUGUGGUUCAUCUUAGGCUCCAACUUUAACAAAAAGACCCAGGACUACAACUGGUGUGUUGCAGUGACAUUUUUUAGCCACUUUUUCUACCUCUGUCUGUUUUUCUGGAUGCUCUUCAAAGCCCUGCUCAUCAUCUAUGGACUACUGGUCGUUUUCCGGAGGAUGAUGAGGUCCCGCAUGAUGGCCAUUGGCUUUGCCGUUGGCUAUGGGUGCCCGUUAGUCAUUGCUGCCACCACUGUGGCUAUCACAGUGCCAGGGAAAGGCUACAUGAGACGUGGUGCCUGUUGGCUUAACUGGGAUGACACCAAAGCCCUUCUAGCCUUUGCCAUCCCAGCCUUGGUCAUUGUGGCUGUGAAUCUUGUUGUGGUUUUGAUUGUGGCUGUCAACACUCAGAGGCCCUCUAUUGGCAGUUCCAAGUCUCAAGAUGUGGCCAUAAUCCUGAGGAUCAGCAAAAAUGUCGCCAUCCUCACCCCACUGUUGGGACUGACUUGGGGUUUUGGAAUAGCUACGCUCAUAGAAGGCACUUCCUUGAUAUUCCACAUAAUCUUUGCCCUGCUCAAUGCUUUCCAGGGGUUCUUCAUCUUGCUGUUUGGAACCAUUAUGGACCACAAGCAUGGUGCUGAACCAUCUGACGCUGCUUCUGCAGAGGUGCUGGCCUCAAAGUUUCAGGACCCAGGUCUAGACCUUGAGGAUGCUGUCAUUUCUUCACUCUCAUUGCUUCUUUAG
rnacentral:lncRNA from 1 species